AGAGUUUGAUCCUGGCUCAGAGCGAACGCUGGCGGCGUGCCUAACACAUGCAAGUCGAACGUGAAAGGGAGCAAUCCUGAGUAAAGUGGCGUACGGGUGAGUAACACGUAGGUAAUCUACCAAAGAGUCCGGAAUAACCUGCCGAAAGGCGGGCUAAUACUGGAUAGAGCGACGGAACUCGUAAUAGGGUUUCUCGGGAA
rnacentral:rRNA from 1 species